rnacentral:rRNA from 1 species
AUGAACGCUGGCGGCACGCUUAACACAUGCAAGUCGAACGAGAUCUUCGGAUCUAGUGGCAGACGGGUGCGUAACGCGUGGGAACCUGCCCUUUAGUAAGGAAUAACUCAGGGAAACUUGUGCUAAUACCUUAUAAUCCCUUCGGGGGAAAGCUUUAUGCGCUAAUGGAUGGGCCCGCGUUAGAUUAGCUUGUUGGUGAGGUAAUGGCUCACCAAGGCUACGAUCUAUAGCUGGUCUGAGAGGAUGAUCAGCCACACUGGGACUGAGACACGGCCCAGACUCCUACGGGAGGCAGCAGUGGGGAAUAUUGGACAAUGGGGGCAACCCUGAUCCAGCGAUGCCGCGUGAGUGAUGAAGGCCCUAGGGUUGUAAAACUCUUUCGCCAGGGAAGAUAAUGACGGUACCGGUAAAGAAGAUCCGGCUAACUCCG